rfam:Trichinella sp. T6 scaffold310s, whole genome shotgun sequence.
CCAACGGUCCUUUUCAGGACCACUUCAAUCUGUUUUCAUCAGCUAUU